rnacentral:rRNA from 1 species
UUGGGUUAAGUCCGUACGAGCGCAACCUUUGUCCUUAGUUACCAGCACGUUAUGGUGGGCGACUCUAAGGAGACUGCCGGUGACAAACCGGAGGAAGGUGGGGAUGACGUCAAGUCAUCAUGGCCCUUACGGCCUGGGCUACACACGUGCUACAAUGGUCGGUACAAAGGGUUGCCAAGCCGCGAGGUGGAGCUAAUCCCAUAAAACCGAUCGUAGUCCGGAUCGCAGUCUGCAACUCGACUGCGUGAAGUCGGAAUCGCUAGUAAUCGUGAAUCAGAAUGUCACGGUGAAUACGUUCCCGGGCCUU